AUGACCAACGAAGAGGGUGUCCAGGAGCCCCGGAGCCGGGCACUGGGGGGCCCCUUGGAGGUGGGCUGGGACUAUGCCCAGUGGAAGCAGGAGCGGGAGCAGAUAGACCAGGCCCGCCUGGCGCGGCACAGAGACGCACAGGGUGACUGGCGCCGCCCGUGGGACGUGGACAAGGCCAAGCCCACGCGACAGGGCUCCAGCAAGCCUCGGGAAGAGGGCCCAGCCAGGGUGGGCAGCACGAGGGGUCCCAGGAGUCACCGAAAGCUACAGCCCCCACCACUGCCCCCUGAAGGCAAAGGCAGUGCUACUCGGGGUGGGCAACAGGGCAGACCCGUGGUGGCGCUGGCCACCCGCAGCAAGGCUCGAGGGACAGAGAGGCUGACUGGCAGGGCCCGCAGGUGGGAAAUGAAGGAAGACAGGGAGGAGCCGGAGAGCCAGGAGGGAAGCCAGAGCACCAGAAAGACUCCGAAUGGGAAGGAACAUGAGCAGACUCAGAGCAGGAUGGAGCCGGGCGGACCCACCAGUGCCCCGGGAACCACCCCCACGCCAGCAUCGGCAUCACCAGAGGGGCUGAAAGAGGAGUCGGGAGAUUUGGCAGCCAGUCCAGCCAGUCCGGGCUCUCCACCAAACUUAGACUUGGUUCCCCUCGAUCUCUCCCUAGGAGGCGCCAGUAGCACUGGGUCUCAGGAGAGCGCCUGUGUGCUCAGUUCAAAGCCUGGGGCCCAGGAGAGCCCUGCAUCCCGGCUGGAGGGCCAGGAGCAGCCCCUCGGGUCAACCGAGCCCCAGGCCAUGCCAGAAGCCCAGACUUGUUCCGGGCCCCCCAAAGGGGCAGAGCCCCUGGAGUCCAGAGAAGACAGGCCUGGCAAGGCUGGGGCCCAGCAGGGCCUGACACCUCGGAGCAGGGCCCCUAGAGGAGGCAGCCAAAGGGCGAGGGGUGCAGGAGGUGUGAGGAGCAGGACAGGGGGUCCUGGCCCUGCAGGAAGAUGCUGA
rnacentral:lncRNA from 1 species